UUACAUAUUGUUCUUAACUGCUUAAUGUCAUAAUAGCAGAUGAAUGUGAAAAAUGCAUAGUUGAAUGGAGAAUUGGAAGAAGUUUACAUGGAGUCACCACUGGGUUUCGCGAAAGAAUUUGGGAGUAACAAUGUACAUUGGUUGAAGAACUCACUCUAUGGCUUAAAACAAUCAUCAAGAGCCUAGUUUGAUCGCUUCACUAGGUCAGUAAAAAAGUUUGGAUAUGGCUUAAAACAAUCAUUAAGAGCAUGGUUUGAUUGCUUCACUAGGUCAGUAAAAAAGUUUAGAUAUUUUUAAGUUCGGAAAUCUUGAACAAGUUUGUCGUUCUACACAUUGUUCUUAACUGCUUAAUGUCAUAAUAGCAUAUGCGUAGUUGGAUGGAGAAUUGGAAGAAGUUUACAUGGAGUCAACACCAGGUUUCGCGAAAGAAUUUGGGAGUAAUAAUGUACAUUGGUUGAAGAACUCACUCUAUGACUUAAAACAAUCAUCAAAAGCAUGGUUUGAUCGCUUCACUAGGUCAGUAAAAAAAUUUGGAUAUUUUUAAGGGCAGACUGACCAUACAUUGUUUAUCAAGCAUAUAGGUGGUAAGAUUUCUAUUUUGAUAGUAUACGUCGAUAACAUUAUUUUCACAGAUGAUAAUCUGGAAGAACUUGUAUGUCUUAAGGAGUUUUUAGCUAAAAAAUUUUUAGAGACCUAGGACAACUUCAAUAGUCUUUGGGAAUGGAAAGAACAAGAAAUAAGACAGGUAUCUACUAGGAGCCACUUGACAAUUCAAUGAAACGGAUGAAUAAUAGCAAACAUUAUAGAACUGUAUUGAUGGCAAUAUGAAUUACAAAGUAAAGGAAAUACAAUAAACCUUUCAAGAGGGCUGUACUCUCCACAAUAUGAUUUUCACUCACUAUUUAGCAUGCCCAAUCCUUUUCCCCACUUUCUUUAUUUAUAAGCUACUUGUAACAGUUUUUCCCUUCCAUUUUUACUCUCUAAUAGACUAAUUUUCUACCCACUUGUGGGUUAUUCUUCUUCUAGGUCUUUCUAGAAUGCACGAGUUGGAAUGAAGCCUAUCAAUACCCCGAGUUAUAAAUCCACCUUGUCCACAAGGUGGUAGUUAAUGAAGUGUUGGUGAUGCCAAUUGCAUGCUCUUCCAUCGUCAAGAUUUUGGUAGGAAAGAUUUCUAUCCCAUUUGAAGCACACACAUUUAAAGGUGUAGCUAGCAUGGUAUAUUUGGGUACACUUGGAUUUUGGGCUGUCAUACCCACUUAAUUUUUGUCUUCAAUUAGUUAAGUCAUUUUGAUAAUAGAGCCUAACCCAUUGGGACAUAAUAGAACAACUUCAGCCCAAGUGUCUAAUUUUAGCCCAUUAAUGAAUGUAAUCCCACUAGGUCUUCUAACUUAUUGUAAUCAGAUGGAGUGCAGAUAGCCGCCAGAUUUCCAGUGAGAUAUGCUAUCUUGAUGAGCCCUUCCAGACGCGAAACCUUCUUUACAUUGAGUUGGAUACGGUCGGCCCAAAGUGGUGCAAAGAAACCACCAGAAGGCUCCAACAGAUGCUUCUUUGUCAUUGAACGCAUCCAUCGCCAAAACCUUGCACGAUGUCUCUACCACAAUCUUCUUGUCGAGAUGCAGCCCCUUCUCCCUUUUUGUAUGAAGCUCGACAACCGUCAACCUCUUAAACAAUGACGCCACCUUCAUCGUGUUAGCAGGUCGUAGUGUGGUGGUCACUGGGAUUGAGUCACGGGUUUUGGAAUGCCCCGCGAAUGGAACUACGCUGGUGGAGUAGUUUUGAUAAGGGAAAACACGUGGGUUGUAGCUAAUAUGUGGGCUGCUGGAGUUAGUUUUGAUUAUGGACGGGCCAAAACUUAAUUGGGCUUGUUUUAAAUACUCAUUUCGAUCUUCUACCUACUGGUCCACCUCCCUGCCAAAGUCCAAAUCCAUCCAAUUCAAUAAUUUCCAUUCGUUCCUCUUCUCCAGAUUUAGCCGAAUUGCAAAGAUCCUUUCCAUCUCCGAUCUCUUCUACUUUGGCAAUGGUGAUGUUUUGGGUGGGAUUUUCUGUGUCUCAAUGUUUCCAGUCAAAUUCACCGGCAAAGGGGCUUCAGAAAUCGCCAGCUCAGGUGAGUUCUCUGCUAUUUCUUUUUCAUUCCACUCUCUUUCUUGCUAAUCCAUUUUUCUCAUCAUCAAAUCGAACCUCUCUAUCAUUCUAGACAUUGCUCUCAGAAAUUCAAUUUUCAUUGCACCUAACUCAAAUUGUAGGCGGUCAGUUCUCUCUUAUAAGGACUCCACUAUAGAACCGUAUUGAUGACAAGAUGAAUUACAGAAAUAAAGGAAAUACAAUCAGCAUUUCGAAAGGGUUGUACUCUCCACGAUAUAGUUUUAAUUCACUAUUUUGCAUGCCAAAUCCUUUCCCCUCCCCUUCUUUAUUUGAGAGCUAUUUGUAACUGUUUUUCUCUCCCACUUUUUAUACUCUAACAGUCUAGCUUUCCACCCAUUUGCAGGUUAUUCUUCUUCUUGGUCCUUCUAGAAUGUGUGAGGUGGAUUGGAGCCUAUCAGUAUCUUCAUAUCUCAAAGAAAAGUAUAUGAUGGAUUCAUUGAAAUAAACAAGUAUGCUUGGCUGUAAACCUUGUGAAACUCCGGUUGAGCCUAAUGGAAAAUUGGGUAAAGAGGCAAGAAAUCCAAUAUACGGGGAGAGAUAUGAGAGAAUAGUUGGAAGAUUGAUUUAUUUGUCACAUACUUAACUUGAUAUUGCUUUUGCAGUAAGCAUGGUCAGUUAAUAUAUGCACUAUCCAUUUCAAGGGCAUUUAGAUGCAGUUUAUAGGACUAGGAAAGUAUUGUUUUUUUUUGGGAAGAAUGUAGAAAGAGGUGUGGAAGUUUAUAUAGAUGCAGAUUGGGGCAGGCUCAAUUGAAUGAUAGAAAAUCCACUUCUGGUUAUGGUACAAUUGUUUGGGAAAAUUUAGUUAAAGGAAAAAUAAUGAAGUAGCCUGAAGUUGCGAAGGCAGAACUUCGAGCAUUAGUCCCUGAAGUGUGUGAAAUAAUUUGGAUAAGGAGACUACUAGAAGAAUUGAAGUUUCCGUGUAUGAAGCUUAUAAAGAUUAUUUGUGAUAAUAAGGCCGCAAUUAGUAUUACCUAUAAUUUGGUCCAUUAUGUUCUCACCAAGCAAGUGGAGAUUGACAAGCAUUUUCUAAAAGAGAAGAUCAAUAGUGGUGAAGUAUGUGUUUUGUUCGUGCUAUCCAAGGAGCAGGUAGCAAAUAUUUUUACGAGGGGUGUAGCAAGACAAAGCUUUGAAAAGUGUAUAGACAAGUUGGGGUGAUUAAUAUCUUCACACCGGCUUGAGGCGAGUGUUGAGAGGUUACGAUUUUAUUGUAAUAUAGUUAUCAUAGUUUAGUUUUAUCUUCGUUGAAAUUAAAUAAAUCCGGUAAGAUAAGAUAAGCCAGUUGGUUGGCUAGUUA